rnacentral:lncRNA from 1 species
GUGCACUUGUCCUCCCCACAAAUGGGGGGCGUCUCGUAUUCUAUCCACGUCAGGGUUUGGAGAGCCAUUAAGAAGAGCCCCUUCGUCUUCACUAUAUACGGCAAAAGACCCUGUGAACGACUAAGGGUGAGCGCGGAUUUGGAAAUCUCCGUUUCUCUUCACCGAGAGGGACUUCACGGAGAGGAGAGAGAGGGUCUUCCCCGGGUGGUUGCUCUCUCC